AUUGAACGCUGGCGGCAUGCCUUACACAUGCAAGUCGAACGGUAACAGGUUAAGCUGACGAGUGGCGAACGGGUGAGUACUGUAUCGGAACGUGCCCAGUCGCGGGGGAUAACUGCUCGAAAGAGCAGCUAAUACCGCAUACGAAUUGAGGCUGCAAGCGGGGGAUCGCAAUACCUCGCGCGAUUGGAUCGGACGAUAUCAAAUUAGGUAGUUGGUGAGGUAAAGGCUCACCAAGCUGACGAUCUGUAGCUGGUCUGAGAGGACGACCAGCCACAAUGCAACUGAGACACGGCCCAGCCUCUUACGGGAGGCAGAAGUGGGGAAUUUUGGACAAUGGGCGCAAGCCUGAUCCAGCCAUGCCGCGUGCGGGAAGAAGGCCUUCGGGUUGUAAACCGCUUUUGUCAGGGAAGAAAAGGUUCUGGCUAAUACCUGGGACUCAUGACGGUACCUGAAGAAUAAGCACCGGCUAACUACGUGCCAGCCGCCGCCGUAAAAC
rnacentral:rRNA from 1 species